UUGAGUUUGGCCCAGCUUUGAUGGAGGAAUCGGACCAACCUACCCCCAGAGGUCCUUGCAAACUAAAUUAUCUCAUGAUUCUGUGAUUCUUACCUGCUGAAAGAUUGACUGCAUUUUCAGCAGUCACCUCACCGGCUGCUUUUAAAGCUCCAUGAGAAAAGAAAUUUCCAGCUGAACAGCAGAUUCAACAGCAGUUUCCACCACGUUUAACAGAAGUGAAUUCCUGGGAAGGUUUGAGUGUAGCAGAGAUGAGCAGAGAUGCCUGGCAAAUAGCUUUGGGAAUAAUAUUACAGCAAAGGCUCAAGGACAUGGCAUUUCCACUUGAUUUAUUUGGACAGCACCAGAGGCCAGAGAUCUGAAGAGACACAUAGUGGGAGGGCAAGAUGCUUUUUCUAGGAAAA